CGGACAGAAGGGAGCUUGCUCCCGGAUAGUUAGCGGCGGACGGGUGAGUAACACGUGGGUAACCUGCCUGUAAGACUGGGAUAACUCCGGGAAACCGGAGCUAAUACCGGAUAGUUCCUUGAACCGCAUGGUUCAAGGAUGAAAGACGGUUUCGGCUGUCACUUACAGAUGGACCCGCGGCGCAUUAGCUAGUUGGUGAGGUAACGGCUCACCAAGGCGACGAUGCGUAGCCGACCUGAGAGGGUGAUCGGCCACACUGGGACUGAGACACGGCCCAGACUCCUACGGGAGGCAGCAGUAGGGAAUCUUCCGCAAUGGACGAAAGUCUGACGGAGCAACGCCGCGUGAGUGAUGAAGGUUUUCGGAUCGUAAAGCUCUGUUGUUAGGGAAGAACAAGUGCAAGAGUAACUGCUUGCACCUUGACGGUACCUAACCAGAAAGCCACGGCUAACUACGUGCCAGCAGCCGCGGUAAUACGUAGGUGGCAAGCGUUGUCCGGAAUUAUUGGGCGUAAAGGGCUCGCAGGCGGUUUCUUAAGUCUGAUGUGAAAGCCCCCGGCUCAACCGGGGAGGGUCAUUGGAAACUGGGAAACUUGAGUGCAGAAGAGGAGAGUGGAAUUCCACGUGUAGCGGUGAAAUGCGUAGAGAUGUGGAGGAACACCAGUGGCGAAGGCGACUCUCUGGUCUGUAACUGACGCUGAGGAGCGAAAGCGUGGGGAGCGAACAGGAUUAGAUACCCUGGUAGUCCACGCCGUAAACGAUGAGUGCUAAGUGUUAGGGGGUUUCCGCCCCUUAGUGCUGCAGCUAACGCAUUAAGCACUCCGCCUGGGG
rnacentral:rRNA from 1 species